rnacentral:rRNA from 1 species
UACAGAGGGGGCAAGCGUUGUUCGGAAUUACUGGGCGUAAAGGGCGCGUAGGCGGCCUGCUAAGUCGAACGUGAAAUCCCUGGGCUCAACCCAGGAACUGCGUCCGAUACUGGUUGGCUUGAAUCCGGGAGAGGGAUGUGGAAUUCCAGGUGUAGCGGUGAAAUGCGUAGAUAUCAGGAGGAAUACCGAUGGCGAAGGCAGGUCUCUGGGCUGACACUGACGCUCAUGCACGAAAGCGUGGGGAGCAAACAGG